UGAGGAAUAUUGGUCAAUGGACGAGAGUCUGAACCAGCCAAGUAGCGUGAAGGAUGACUGCCCUAUGGGUUGUAAACUUCUUUUAUAUGGGAAUAAAACGUUCCACGUGUGGGAUUUUGUAUGUACCAUAUGAAUAAGGAUCGGCUAACUCCGUGCC
rnacentral:rRNA from 1 species